ensembl:lncRNA
CAAUAGGUGAUGCUAUAGGAGACUCUUAAGAUUAUGUUUUCAAGAUUAAAACCACAGCGUGGACGAAUAAGGGUCAUGAAGCAGUUUCUCAUCCUUUUGCUAGUAGUAGCAGGAACUCAUGCUUUCUUUCCAGUUGGUGAGACUACAUGUAAUCUCACUCACAACACAUGCCCAUGCACUCCUCUGACUGAGGGAACUGUGUAUAUCCAAGUGAUGACUAAUGCUAGUGGCCGUGAACUGAAGUUUUUGAAGGUGCUUCCCAACGGGAACAUAACUGUGUUGAGUCUGAAGAAAGAAAAAAUAACAAUGACAGACAAGGAAUUUAACAACAGACUACAGUUUAUAUUCGAGAACGGGACGCUCAAGAUCACAAACGUGAGGAGGAAUGAUUCAGGUCAAUACAGCAUUGAGGUCUUGAAUUCAAAUGGAGUCCAAGAUGAAAACAUUCAUUUCACCCUGGAUGUUAAAGACAAAGGCAAAGUUGAAGGUGUGGAAACUUACUGUGAUGGCAGACAGGAUGGAGCUCAGUGUUAUGGAGCUUUGGGAGGAAGUGUGGAGAUCAAGCUGAUGGACAGCACCUCAAAAAUACCUCGAUACCAUUUGUUAAAGAAUUCAUUAAAAAUACUAGAUGUCAAAGAUAAUAUAGCUCUUCCUAAUA